GCCCUUGUAGUAUAAAUCAACACGCUAGCCUUGUAAACUAGAAAUGGAGCUCACAACCCCUAGGGCA
rnacentral:tRNA from 2 species